rnacentral:rRNA from 1 species
GAUGAACGCUAGCGGCAGGCCUAAUACAUGCAAGUCGAACGGUGUAGCAAUACACAGUGGCGCACGGGUGCGUAACACGUAUGCAACCUACCUUACAUUGGGGGAUAGCCUUUCGAAAGGGAGAUUAAUACCGCAUAAGACAGUAACUAGGCAUCUAGUAGCUGUUAAAGAUUUAUCGAUGUAAGCUGGGCAUGCGUCCAAUUAGUUAGUUGGCGAGGUAAUGGCUCACCAAGACGAUGAUUGGUAGGGGAACUGAGAGGUCAAUCCCCCCCACUGGCACUGAGAUAAGGGCCAGACUCCUACGGGAGGCAGCAGUAGGGAAUAUUGGGCAAUGGGUGCAAGCCUGACCCAGCCAUGCCGCGUGCAGGAAGAAGGCGUUAUGCGUUGUAAACUGCUUUUAUACAGGAAGAAACGACCCUUGCGAGGGGCAUUGACGGUACUGUAUGAAUAAGCACCGGCCAACUCCGUGCCAGCAGCCGCUGUAAAAC